UUUGACAGAGAGAGAGCAAAAGAGAGAGAGCAUCAGCAUGGGGAGGGGCAGAGGGAGAAGCAGAUUCUCUGCUGAGCUCCAUCCCAGGAUCCUGGGAUCAUAACUGAGCCAAAGGCAGCUGCUUAACCAACUGAGCCACCUAGGUGCCCCAGCAUCCAGCUGUUUUUAAGGAAAAGAUUCAGUAUCUUACUUCCAAACAAAUUCUCCACUGAAACACAUUUAAGUGAUUAAACAUCUACGAAGUCACUUGUAUGGUAUUUAAAUUAUAUCUAGUGAAUACCUCAUGACUUCCAAUUGUUUCCAUGAAAUCUCUUCCACUUGCUUAUCCAUUAUUAAGUAAUACCUGUUUGAGUAUUGAAUUUAAAGGUAUUUCUCCAAUGCCACUUUAAUGAGCAUUUUAAUUUUUGGCUCUGGUUCUUCAAAAUGCAAAAGUAACUAAAUUGUAACAUUCAAGAAUAACUCCCAUUGGACAAUAUUACUUAAUUUCCACCUUCGAUUAUUUUAGGGAUGCUUUUUACAAAAAAAAAAAAAAAAAAAAAAAGACUAAGAAAAAUAUAAAGAUGUUCCCUUAAGGAUUAAAAGAAAAAUAUCUAAGUACUAGGAAGAUUCCAAAGUCCUAAAUAUUGAACCUUUUAUUAAAGCAAUACAAAUUGAGGUAAAUAAUUUAGAAUACUCUUGGUGUUCUCUAGGGUGAGACUGUGAAAGAAAGUUUUAAAAGGUGAAAAGGAAACAAAAAUCCAUGAAAAAUUUAUCAAGAGGACAUGACACCAAACAUUCUAUACAAAUGUGUGAGAUUAAGCUUUUCAAACCAAGGGCCAACGACUCAACACUAAAUUUCACAAAACAAGAAAUAAAAUGUAACAUUUCAGAUCAAGGGUUUUGGGACUUCAUUAAAAAGUAAAGACAAUAGCAAACCCUCUAUUAUAAAUUAAAAUUUAUUUUUUACCCAAGUCAACAAAAACUAUAAAUAAAAAGGGAGACAUUACCAUCACUGAUGCCCCAGAAAUGAAAAGGAUUGUACAGGUUACCACAAACAAUUAUACUCCAACAAACAGACAAUCUAUAAGAAAUGGAAAAAUUUCUAGAAACAUACCACUAACCAAGGCUGAAUCAGGGAAGAAAAAAAAAGGAAAUCGAAAAUCUGAAUAGACCAAUUACUAGUAAAAAGAUUGAAUUAGUACUCAAAGAUCUCCCAACAAAAAAAAAGCCCAGGCCCAGAUGGCCUCACUGGUGAAUUUCAUUUAAUUCUGAAGAAUCAACACCAAUCCUUUUCAAGCUCUUCAAAAAAUCAAACAGGAGUGAGCACUCCCAAACUCAUUUUAUGAGGCCAGCAUUAUCUGGACACCAAAACCAGAAAAAGGACACUACUAGAAAACAAAAUAAAGCAAAAGCAACCCCCCCCCCAAAACUAUAGGUCACUAUCCUUCAUGAAUAUAGAUGCAAAAAUUCUCAAUAAAAUACUAGUAAACCAAAUUUAGCAGCAUAUUAAAAGAAACAUUUACCAUGAUCAAGUGGGACUAAUCCCUGAGAUGCACAAAUGAUUCAACACCAGCAAAUCAAUCAAUGUGAUACAUCACAUUAAUGGAAUAAAAAAAAAAAAAGAAUGAUGGUAUCUCACUAGAUGCAGAAAAAGCAUUUGACAAAAUUCAGUAUCUUUUUGUGAUAAAAACUCUUAACAAAUUAGGCAUAAAAGAAAUAUCUCAACAUAAUAAAGGCCUUACAUGACAAACCCACAGCUAAUGUCCCAUUCAGUGACGAAAAGUUGAAAGUUUUUGCUCUUAAAUCAGAAACAAGACAAUGGUGUCCAAUCUCGCCACUCCUAUUUUUUUUUUUCGCCACUCCUAUUAGACAUGGUACUAGAAGUCCUAACAAUCAGGCAAGAAAAAGAAAUAAAGGUAUCAGAAUUAGAAAGGAAGUAAAACUUGUCCCUAUUUGCAGUUGAAAUGGUUUUAUAUAGAGAAAAUCCUAAAGACUCAACCAAACAAAAAACUGUUAGAUGUAAUCAAUAAAUUAAGUAAGGUCACAAGAUGCAAAAUGAACAUACAAAUAUCAGUAGCAUUUCUAUAUACUUAGCGACAGAUUUUCUGAAAAAGAAAUUGAUCCUAUUUACAAUAGGAUCAAAAACAAAAUACUUAGAAAUAAAUGUAAGCAAGUGAUUCAUCUCCACUCUGAAAACUACAAGACACUGAUGAAAGAAAAGGAAGAAGACAAAUAAAUGAAAAAGUAUCCUGUAUUCAUGCACUGGAACAAUUAAUACUGUUAAACUGUCAAUUCUACCAAAAGCCAUCUAUAGAUUGAAUGCAAUCCCUGUCAAGAUUCCAAUAGCAUUUUUUUCUUUUACAGAAGUAUAAAAACCACUCUUAAAAUGUAUAUGGGACCACAAAAGACACCGAAUAGCGCCCCCUUCCCAAAUCCUAGGAAAAAAAAGAUUAAAGCAGGAGGUAUCACUUUCUGAUUUCAAGCUAUACUAUAAAGCUAUAGUCAUCAAAAUAGCACAUAUUUGCAUAAAAAGAAAUAGACCAAUGGAACAGAAUCAAGAGCCCAGAAAUAAACCCAAGCACACACAGUCCACUAAUAUUUGACAAAAGAUUCAAGAAUACUGAAUGGAGAAAAGCCAGCCUUUUCAAUUACUGGUGUUGAUACAAUCGGAUAUUCAUAUGUGAAAGAAUAAAACUGGACCCACGUCUUCUACCAUUCACAAAAAUUAACUCAAAAUGGAUUAAAGACUUAAAAAAUGUAUGACCUGAAAUCAUGAAAUUCCUAGAAGAAAACAGGAAUAAAGCUCCUUGACAUGGGUCUUGGUAACAAUUUUUGGGAUAUGACACCUAGCAACAGAAGCACAAGCAAUGAAAUAAAAAAUAAACAAGUUGACUAAUAAAACUAAAAAGCUUCCACACAGCAAAAGAAAUCAUCAUCAGAGUGGAAAGACAACCUAUGGAAUGGGAAAAGAUAUUUGCAAGCCACAUAUAUGAUAAGUAUUAAUAUCCUAAAAAUAUAAAGAACUCAUAUAACUUAAUAGCAAAAAACCCCAAGUAACCCAUUUUAAAAAAGGGCAAAGAACCUGAAGAGACAUUUCUCCAAAGAAGAUACAUGAAAAGCUAACAGGUACAUGAAAAUAUGUUCACCAUCACUAGGCAUUAGGGAGAUGCAAAUUAAAAAAACAAUGAGAUAUCACCUUAUGCUUGUCAGAAUGACCACCAUCAAAAGAUAAGAGAUAACAAAUGCUGAUAUGAAUGUGAAGAAAAAAAGCCCUUGUACACUCUUGGUGUGACUGUAAACUGGUACAGCCACUAUGGAAAACAGUAUGGAAGAUCCUCAAAAAAUGAAAAAUAAACUUACCAUAUGAUCUGGUGAUUCUACUUCUGGGAAUAUGUCCAAAGCAAACAAAGAUACUAACUUGAAAAUAUAUCUGCGCUCCCCAUGUUCACAGCAGCAUUAUUAACAACAGCCAAGACAUGGAAAUAACCUAAGUGUCUAUGGAUGGAUGGAUGGAUAAAGAAGCUAUACACACACAGGAAUAUUAUUCAGCCAUAAAAAGAGGUAGAAAUCCUACCAUUUGUGACAACAUGGAUGGCCACUGAAACAUUAUGCUAAGUGAAAUAGUAAGUCAGACAGAGAAAGGCAAAUAUGUUAUGAUCUCACUUAUACAUUGAAACUAAGGAAAAACAAAAACUCAAAGAGAUCAGACUUAUGGUUACUAGAGGCAGAGAGCUGUGGAAGGGCAAACUGGAAGGAGGUAAUUAAAAGGUACAAACUUCCAGUUAUAAGAUACAUAAGUCCCAGGGAUGUAACAUGCAGCUAACACUGCUGUGUGAUACAUAGGAAAGUCGUUAAGAGAGUAAAUCCUAAGAGUUUUUAUCAUGAGAAUAAUUGAAUAAUUUUUUUUCUUCUUUUUAAAAAACUGCAUUUAUAUGAGAAGAUGGAAGUUAGCUAAAUCUAUUGUGGUAAUCAUUUCGCAAUAUAUGUUUUGUCAAGCCACUAUGCUGUACACCAUCAACCUGUAGUGAUGUAUGUCAAUUGUUCCUCAAACUGGAAAAACAAAAGAAUCCUAAGUAUUUGUAAACUUUUGAAAAACUGAGUUAUUUUGUCUGAAAAACUGUAAGUAUCAAUUGUUAUUCUCUUAAUUAUUGCAACUACUGUUUUAUUCCACUUUAAAAUGGUCUUAUCUAUAAAUGGAUGUGGCUUUAUUAAAAUAAAAUCUAACAGACCACCACGACAUAAUAGAAGCGUAAUAAAUCAGUGACAGAAAUGGGAAAAACAAAAGUUUUUGAAAAAAAAUUAAGGAAAAAAUAGAAGGAACAUGCAAUUGCUGCCAUUUCAAGCAGGGAAUAACGAGGGCAUGGUAAAAGAGGAAGCCUGAAAUUUCAUUUAUUGGAACAUAUUUCUAAUUUAUUUUAAAAAAGGAAUAAAUACUCAUUGAUGUCCUUUGAUAUAAUUUGAAUUUCAAGACAGUCACUUUCUUUGUAGUAUUAUCUCUAUCAAAAGAUGGAUGUGUGAUUGUACAAUUUGACAGGUGCCAAGAAAAUAAAUUUAUCUAAAAACAUUUUGCUCAAAUAGUUGAGGGCCUCAACAUUAAAUUGGAACAAAAGAGCUAUUUGCCCUCUCCCAGGGGUUUUCAUUUUAGAUGAAAAUAGUCUUCAAAGACUGGUAAGAGAAGCCACUGACACUGUAGUGAGUAAAACAGCUGCCCAGAUUGCCCUCCAUUGCCACUUGAGGGACUUACAUAUUUUUGCCCAAGGCCAAAUUUGCUCCUAACUUCCAGGUCCAUCAGCUUUAACUUGCUGUCAGCUGCUUCCAUAGGAGUAAAAGAGUGUCACUCACAUUCCCUAUUAAGAGAGAGUCACUAGGACACACUAGUGCUUGACUGACUCAAAUGUUCAAUAGAAGGACAUACGUAUCUGAGGACCUCUUCAACUCUAAAAUGCUUUGAUUCUAAAAUGCUAUGAUUCCAAGUAAUUUAUCAAAUUGUAGUUGAUAAAAAUGACAAGCAUUUUAUUUAUUUAUUUAUUUAUUUAUUUAUUUAUUUAUUUAUUUAUUUAUUUAUUUUAAUGGCAAGCAUUUUAAUCAGAAAGAUGACAAUGCUAUCAGAAAGUUGUGUCCUGAUCAAUAUGUGUUGUAGUCUUUCUAGAGAAGUCUGAGGGAAGGAAAUGAUUUUGAAACAGCCAUAUGCCCUACCCAUCCAAUCUCCCCAGAUUAUUUAUCUUCACUGCUUUCUUUUCUUUUCUUUUCUUUUCUUUUCUUUUUUCUUUUCUUUUCUUUUCUUUUAUUUAUU
rnacentral:lncRNA from 1 species